rnacentral:lncRNA from 1 species
CAGUUUCGCUCAGUGAUAUUCAGGCACGAAUGGUUUUAGGCGAUUCCGUUUCCAGCACCAUGUACCCGUUCAUUGUACGGAUAUCCAUUACGUUUUCGAACGAGUCAUCUUACAAUAAAAACUACGAUGACGUCUGCCCCGACACGCAUUUGAAGAGAGAUCGGAAGAAGCCCAUGCACCCCAAAGAACCCGGCCGC